GUGUGCUACACACAAAGUCAGAAAUUCCAGGUGGAUUGUGACAGAUGAAGUCAGAGAUGCCAGGGGGAUUUUUCUAUACGAAGUCAGAGACACCAUGGUGAAUGUUGCUCUCCACGUUGGAGAUACCAGGCUGUGUGUGACAAAAGAAGUCAGAGAUGCCGCCUGGAAUGUUAUACAAGAAGUCAGAGAGGCAAAGGGAAGAGUUAGACAAGAAGUCAGAGACAUCACAGGAAGUGUUACACAUGAAGUCAGAGACACCAGGGNGAAGUCAGAGAUGUGAGGGGUACUGUGAAUCAUGAAAUUAGAGAUGCCAGGUGGAUUGUGACACAUGAGGUCAGAGAUGCCAUGGGGAAAGUUAGACAUGAAGUUUGAGAUGCCUGGUGGAGAGACACAUGAUGUCAAAGAUGCCACACGUUGCUUUAUACACGAAGCUAGAGAAGCCAGUGGUAGUGUGACAUGCAAAGUCAGGGACACCAG
rnacentral:lncRNA from 1 species